AACGAACGCUGGCGGCAGGCUUAAUACAUGCAAGUCGAACGCACCGCAAGGUGAGUGGCAGACGGGUGAGUAACGCGUGGGAACCUUCCUAAUAGUUCGGAAUAACUUCGGGAAACCGAAGCUAAUACCGUAUACGCCCUUCGGGGGAAAGAUUUAUCGCUAUUAGAUGGGCCCGCGUCGGAUUAGCUAGUUGGUGAGGUAAUGGCUCACCAAGGCUUCGAUCCGUAGCUGGUCUGAGAGGAUGAUCAGCCACACUGGGACUGAGACACGGCCCAGACUCCUACGGGAGGCAGCAGUAGGGAAUGUUGGACAAUGGGCGCAAGCCUGAUCCAGCCAUGUCGCGUGAGUGAAGAAGGCCUUAGGGUUGUAAAGCUCUUUUGGCGGGGACGAUAAUGACGGUACCCGCAGAAUAAGCCCCGGCUAACUUCGUGCCAGCCGCCGCAGUAA
rnacentral:rRNA from 1 species